rnacentral:ncRNA from 2 species
CUCUUAUCCGGAGUGGUGGAGGGACUAGCCCUAUGAAGCCCGGCAACCAGCUUGACGCGUAAAUCUAAUGACGAAGUCAGAGCAUGGUGCUAAUUCUUGCAGGAGAAGAUUUUCCUGGUAGAUAAGAG